UGCAGUCGAGGGGUAUAGUUCUUCGGAAUUAGAGACCGGCGCACGGGUGCGUAACGCGUAUGCAAUCUACCUUUCACAGAGGGAUAGCCCAGAGAAAUUUGGAUUAAUACCUCAUAGUAUAUAUGAAUGGCAUCAUUUAUAUAUUAAAGUCACAACGGUGAAAGAUGAGCAUGCGUCCCAUUAGCUAGUUGGUAAGGUAACGGCUUACCAAGGCAACGAUGGGUAGGGGUCCUGAGAGGGAGAUCCCCCACACUGGUACUGAGACACGGACCAGACUCCUACGGGAGGCAGCAGUGAGGAAUAUUGGACAAUGGGCGCAAGCCUGAUCCAGCCAUGCCGCGUGCAGGAUGACGGUCCUAUGGAUUGUAAACUGCUUUUAUACGAGAAGAAACACUCCGACGUGUCGGAGCUUGACGGUAUCGUAAGAAUAAGGAUCGGCUAACUCCGUGCCAGCAGCCGCGGUAAUACGGAGGAUCCAAGCGUUAUCCGGAAUCAUUGGGUUUAAAGGGUCCGUAGGCGGUCAGGUAAGUCAGUGGUGAAAGCCCAUCGCUCAACGGUGGAACGGCCAUUGAUACUGUCUGACUUGAAUUAUUAGGAAGUAACUAGAAUAUGUAGUGUAGCGGUGAAAUGCUUAGAGAUUACAUGGAAUACCAAUUGCGAAGGCAGGUUACUACUAAUGGAUUGACGCUGAUGGACGAAAGCGUGGGUAGCGAACAGGAUUAGAUACCCUGGUAGUCCACGCCGUAACGAUGGAUACUAGCUGUUGGAAGCAAUUUCAGUGGCUAAGCGAAAGUGAUAAGUAUCCCACCUGGGGAGUACGUUCGCAAGAAUGAAACUCAAAGGAAUUGACGGGGGCCCGCACAAGCGGUGGAGCAUGUGGUUUAAUUCGAUGAUACGCGAGGAAC
rnacentral:rRNA from 1 species